rnacentral:rRNA from 1 species
AACGCUGGCGGCAGGCCUAACACAUGCAAGUCGAGCGGUAGCACAGAGAGCUUGCUCUCGGGUGACGAGCGGCGGACGGGUGAGUAAUGUCUGGGAAACUGCCUGAUGGAGGGGGAUAACUACUGGAAACGGUAGCUAAUACCGCAUAACGUCGCAAGACCAAAGUGGGGGACCUUCGGGCCUCAUGCCAUCAGAUGUGCCCAGAUGGGAUUAGCUAGUAGGUGGGGUAACGGCUCACCUAGGCGACGAUCCCUAGCUGGUCUGAGAGGAUGACCAGCCACACUGGAACUGAGACACGGUCCAGACUCCUACGGGAGGCAGCAGUGGGGAAUAUUGCACAAUGGGCGCAAGCCUGAUGCAGCCAUGCCGCGUGUGUGAAGAAGGCCUUCGGGUUGUAAAGCACUUUCAGCGGGGAGGAAGGCGUUAAGGUUAAUAACCUUGGCGAUUGACGUUACCCGCAGAAGAAGCACCGGCUAACUCCGUGCCAGCAGCCGCGGUAAUACGGAGGGUGCAAGCGUUAAUCGGAAUUACUGGGCGUAAAGCGCACGCAGGCGGUCUGUCAAGUCGGAUGUGAAAUCCCCGGGCUCAACCUGGGAACUGCAUUCGAAACUGGCAGGCUAGAGUCUUGUAGAGGGGGGUAGAAUUCCAGGUGUAGCGGUGAAAUGCGUAGAGAUCUGGAGGAAUACCGGUGGCGAAGGCGGCCCCCUGGACAAAGACUGACGCUCAGGUGCGAAAGCGUGGGGAGCAAACAGGAUUAGAUACCCUGGUAGUCCACGCCGUAAACGAUGUCGAUUUGGAGGUUGUGCCCUUGAGGCGUGGCUUCCGGAGCUAACGCGUUAAAUCGACCGCCUGGGGAGUACGGCCGCAAGGUUAAAACUCAAAUGAAUUGACGGGGGCCCGCACAAGCGGUGGAGCAUGUGGUUUAAUUCGAUGCAACGCGAAGAACCUUACCUGGUCUUGACAUCCACAGAACUUUCCAGAGAUGGAUUGGUGCCUUCGGGAACUGUGAGACAGGUGCUGCAUGGCUGUCGUCAGCUCGUGUUGUGAAAUGUUGGGUUAAGUCCCGCAACGAGCGCAACCCUUAUCCUUUGUUGCCAGCGGUUCGGCCGGGAACUCAAAGGAGACUGCCAGUGAUAAACUGGAGGAAGGUGGGGAUGACGUCAAGUCAUCAUGGCCCUUACGACCAGGGCUACACACGUGCUACAAUGGCAUAUACAAAGAGAAGCGACCUCGCGAGAGCAAGCGGACCUCAUAAAGUAUGUCGUAGUCCGGAUUGGAGUCUGCAACUCGACUCCAUGAAGUCGGAAUCGCUAGUAAUCGUAGAUCAGAAUGCUACGGUGAAUACGUUCCCGGGCCUUGUACACACCGCCCGUCACACCAUGGGAGUGGGUUGCAAAAGAAGUAGGUAGCUUAACCUUCGGGAGGGCGCUUACCACUUUGUGAUUCAUGACUGGGGUGAA